rnacentral:lncRNA from 1 species
GCUUAAGUAUGAAUAUGAUAAAGAAUAAAAAAUAAUUGCAAAAAUUGUUAAGAUAAGAGAAAAAAGGCUUGGUAAAUAAUUGAUUACAGCAUUAAUGGACCCCAUUCAGACCCUCAUUCAAAAAAGGAGUUGUUGUUUUAUCAUGUAUAUCAAAUUUGCAAGCCAUCAUUUGAUUGGCCUCGGUGAGUUUCUAGUCCCUUUAUCUUCUUUUUUCACACUUUUUUGUAAACAGCUCAAACCAUAAC